rnacentral:lncRNA from 1 species
UUUAUGUUACAGCAUGCUUUUAAUUGAUCUGAUGUUUAACAAAGAUAAACUUUAUUUAAGAAUAAUCAUACUUUUUUAAAUGUAUACAUUAUUUAUUCUCAUUUAUCUGUAAUAGAAAUUGAUAAGUAAUCUUUGAAUCUCUGAUAACAAGUGAUCUUUAAUCCUACUUCACUUAGUGAAAUACUGUAGUCCAUAUAUUAGGUAAAUGGUUUUCCUCAAACAGUGGGUCUUUUAAUGCCAACUCAUUAGUGGAGGGGGCAUUUGGUUUUACCCUUGUCCGUCCAUACGUAUGUCCCAAAUUGGUUUCUGUUCUAUUACUUUAGAUUGCUCGACCAAAUGUUAUGAAACUUAUACAUAAUGCUUGUUACCACAAACUUCAGACCUAGGUUGAAUUUUGGUGGCGUCACUGUUAUUGUUCUAGAGUUAUGCCCCUUUACAAUUGAAAAAAAAGCUAAAUGUUAUGUUUCUGUUCUCUUACUUUGGAUUGCCUCUCCCAAAUGAUAUUAAACUGACACAAAAUGCAUAUUACAACAAAAUACAGAUUGAGUUUUGCCUCAACCAAAUAUUAUGGAACUUGUACACAAAUGUUAUCACCACAAAACUCAGAUCAAGUACAAACUUGGAUAGCUUCACUUUUACACUUCUUCAGUUAUGCCCCUUUCAAACCUUAUAUGGGGGCAUCAUCUGGUCCAUUCCCUAUUUAUGUGCUAUUAUAUUAUGCUUUACUGGCUUAUAUCUAAGACAUCCCAGAUCAGAUCUUUAUGCAAACAAUCACACAUAUUGCUGUAAACAUUUGUCCUAUAUGAAUGUAUUGUCAUACUUUAAAGAAGGUCUCUCAGACCUACAUAUUAUACUUGACUGACUUAAUAUUGUGUUUUAAGUGAUAAAUAAGAUCAGUCACCUUUACUUGGAGCUUUAUAAAUAUUAGUAAAACAUGACCAUGUAUUUUCUUACUUAAAUGCUAUAUUUUUAUUGAUAAUUGAGAAAUUGAUUUUAGUCGCAAUUAUUAUAAAAUGUUGUUUAACUGAUCGGGUGGAGCUUUUAGUUUAAUUUUGCACAAGGACAAUCUAUUUGAAAUCUGUGUGAUAAGGAUGUUUUGCAUUAUUAUUAUUAUUAUUACUGAUUUAUGAUGACCUUUCAGUGUCACCAAACAAAUAACUUUGUAUGGUGUAUGUAUGAUGAGUGAAAAUGACAAUGAUGACAAUGUGUUAUUUUAAUUUAAAUUGCUUAAUUUUCAAAUGUCUGUGAUAUUAAUUAAAAAAAUAUGUGAUAGAAGUAUUAGUUUUAUAUAGAACAUCUUACAUGUAAAUAUGUAGAUCUAAGUUGAAUAUGUUUUUAAAAUGGCACAGAAAUAAAUACAAUAGAAAAGAUGAUUAGAUGGUAAAAUAUAAAACAAACCCCCAUUAAAGGAGAGUGUGACUAUCUCACUCACCCUGUCCCUAUUUAGACAAACAUAAGUACAGAGGAAUUAAAGAGAAAGAAAAAGAAAAAAAGGAAAUAUAUGAAAGUAUGGUAUGGAAUGAAAGUUAUUCUCUCUAGUUUGGUGUGUGAUUUAUUUGCAUAUAUAUAUAUUACUUUUUUAAAAAGUCUUUUGUUUCAUUUAGUAAAAUCACGGAGGAAGAAAAAAAUUCAUUGAGCUGUUUAAGAAAGGAAAUGAAACCAGGUGAAGUUUCAUUUUCAAAUUAUGACCCCUCUCCCCCUUUUACAUUUUGUUUUAAUUGUAUAUGAAUAUUUGUUUAUUGCAAAGUGAUGAUUUUAUAUAUGAACUGGCAAUUAUUUAUUAAAUAAGGAUAUUAUUAUAUGUUUGAAAACUUUCCUAAAGCUUAGAGUCAGCUGGUAGAUAUUUGUUUGUGAUAAUAUGAGGCAGGCAUUACCUGUGAAUGGAGACGAAGUCUGUAUGAAUUAUUCUUUUUGUAACUUAAAUAUUUGUUAAAAAAAGAAACGGAAGUACUGUAACGUUUACAAUUUUGUUUCUGUUGUUAUGGAUUUUACUUGUGACGUUAUUUAAGUUAUGACGUCAUAUGCAAUGUAAACAAAGAAACGCUAUCAUUAGGUAACGUUUUUUUUUCAUAUCAAGGAAUUAUUAAAAAUGAAAUUGAUCUUGCGUUCCUUCCUAUUUUAUACUAGACUGAUAAAUAUAUAUUCUACUCAAAGUUUCAUGCAAAUGAGACCGGAAAAAGGAAGUCCAUUGUAGAUUUCUGCGCAGAUGCGGGAAUUCAAAAUAUGACAUAAAAAAGUUUGAACGACU